rnacentral:lncRNA from 1 species
UUGCAUUUGCACGUCUUGUUUGUUCACGAACAUUUUCCGAUACACCUUUUACUGUUUUACUUGCAAGUGACAAGCUAACACAUUUAUAAUAUUGUUUUCCGAUUUACUCACUCAUUACAUAUAUAAUCGUGCACCAGAAUUUGCCGGUGGUGUACUACAUAUUGAUGCAGCGUGUAAUACAUAUUAUACGUAUUGUUUUCUUUUUCGUAGGUUUUGACAACACUGUAAUUUGAGAAAAUUGGCAAAGGGGCGACUAUAAGUGAUAAUCGGAAGUCGUCAUUGCGCAUGUGAAACGAAAGUAAAACAAGGUUGCUAUGCAAUUGUUUAUCUUACGAUUAGUAGUAAGUUUUUACUUAAGUUAGAAAACUUAAGAAUACUCUUAAGAUAAAAAAUAAUCUUACGACCGCCUUCGUGAAAGUGACUUAAGAUUUCUCUUACGAUACUCGUAAGAUUAAAUCUUAAGAUGUAUCUUAAGAUUUUUUGUGAAAAGGGCU